rnacentral:rRNA from 1 species
UACGAAGGGGGCUAGCGUUGUUCGGAAUUACUGGGCGUAAAGGGCUCGUAGGCGGUCUGUCACGUCGGGAGUGAAAACUCAGGGCUUAACCCUGAGCCUGCUUCCGAUACGGGCAGACUAGAGGUAUGCAGGGGAGAACGGAAUUCCUGGUGUAGCGGUGAAAUGCGCAGAUAUCAGGAGGAACACCGGUGGCGAAGGCGGUUCUCUGGGCAUUACCUGACGUGAGGAGCGAAAGUGUGGGGAGCGAACAGG